CCUGCUUCUCCCUGCACCCAACGAUUUCCGAUAUCAUAUCAUAUAAUCAUCUCAACUCCAAAUAUGACGUUGGCACUGUUAUUUCCAUUUUACAAAUGAAGAGAUGAGGUUGAGAGGUAUCGUUUAUUAUCUUGGCCUAUAAGUACAUGGAAGAGUUGGAAUUCGAACUGAGAGCCAGGAUAUGAACUUACAAGUGCCUUGCUUUAGCACUGCCUGUCCCAGAAGGAUUGUACCUUUCUGCUUCUCCAGAAACUAACUAAAGAUUUUCUCACCUGCUGAGAGUUGAGGAUGUUGCUUCAGGCAUGUUCAGACUUCUGGAGGGGAGCAUUGACCUGAAACCACAGUGGGAAUGCAUCAAGUACAGAGUAUAAAGAAAAUCUAUCAAGAUUGGUUCAACAGCCUUUGGCUAUGAAAGUCUCAAGGAAUGACUAAUAAUCAGUUUUGAUUAGUGAGAAGAGAGAAGCAGGAAUAAAUCAGCUCCACACAUGUGACUCAACCUAGGAUCAAGAGUUCCAGUUUUUCCCAUGUGAAUGACUUAGUUUUUUUUUAAAUGCUAUUGUGGAAGAAUAAAUAGUGUAUGAAGACUUUAAAUUUUUAAAUCCUUGAAAACUUUAUAAAAUGAGAAAAGUUUGCUCAUAUAAUGAGGAAUUAUAUUGAAACUAAAAAUAUGUACUGCUGUAAAGAAUGCAAACUUGUUCAAUAAUGGUUCAUGUAAAAAAAAACAAAAAACAAAAAAACAAACAACCUGUGCAUAACUGACCUGUGUUGAGAAGACAAGGGUUUUAAAGGAUUUUGAUAUUCUUUUCUGUCAUUACAAAUUGGUAGCUGAUAACAUUUGGUUCUUUGAAAAUAUCCUUAUGUUGCCUCGUUUCUUUCUUUCUUUCUUUCUUUUACUUUAAGUUCUGGGAUACAUGUGCAGAGCGUGCAGGGUGCAGGUUUGUUACAUAGGUAUACAUGU
rnacentral:lncRNA from 1 species